GCCACCGUAGUUCAAGGGAUAGAAUAGGCGUUUCCUAAACGCUUGAUCCAGGUUCGAGUCCUGGCGGUGGCACCC
rnacentral:tRNA from 1 species